CCUACGGGAGGCAGCAGUAGGGAAUAUUGGACAAUGGGGGGAACCCUGAUCCAGCCAUGCCGCGUGUGUGAAGAAGGCCCUCGGGUUGUAAAGCACUUUCAGUGAGGAAGAACGCCUGGUGGUUAAUACCCAUCAGGAAAGACAUCACUCACAGAAGAAGCACCGGCUAACUCCGUGCCAGCAGCCGCGGUAAUACGGAGGGUGCGAGCGUUAAUCGGAAUUACUGGGCGUAAAGCGCGCGUAGGUGGCUUGAUAAGCCGGUUGUGAAAGCCCCGGGCUCAACCUGGGAACGGCAUCCGGAACUGUCAAGCUAGAGUGCAGGAGAGGAAGGUAGAAUUCCCGGUGUAGCGGUGAAAUGCGUAGAGAUCGGGAGGAAUACCAGUGGCGAAGGCGGCCUUCUGGACUGACACUGACACUGAGGUGCGAAAGCGUGGGUAGCAAACAGGAUUAGAUACCCCAGUAGUC
rnacentral:rRNA from 1 species